AUUGAACGCUGGCGGCAGGCUUAACACAUGCAAGUCGAGCGAGCGGCGGACGGGUGAGUAAUGUAUGGGGACUGCCCGAUAGAGGGGGAUCACUACUGGAAACGGUGGCUAAUACCGCAUACUAUCGGAUAACCCAUAUGGGAUUAGCUAGUAGGUGGGGUAAAGGCUCACCUAGGCGACGAUCUCUAGCUGGUCUGAGAGGAUGAUCAGCAACACUGGGACUGAGACCCGGCCCAGACUCCUACGGAGGAAGCAGUGGGGAAUAUUGGACAAUGGGCGCAAGCCGGAUGCAGCAAUGCCGCGUGUAGGAAGAGGGCCUUAGGGUUGUAAAGUACUUUCAGCGGGGAGGCGUUACCCGCAGAAGAAGCACCGGCUAACUCCGUGCCAGCAGCCGCGGUAAUAC
rnacentral:rRNA from 1 species